GCGACCCAUUGUCAAAAAUUGUUAGGUAAUGGCAUCUUUUCAUUUUGUUUCUUAAAUUCUGAUUUGGUCAGGUACUUGAAGUGCACUUUGGGGGAAGAGCUGGCUAAGGAACAGGAGUGGCUGUAGUGGUUUCUGAGCGGUAGCUCACAAGUUGCACCCAGCAGAGAGAGACAGAGUGAUAAAACUGGGAGAAGUAAGUUUAAUGGUGAUGGCAGAGGAAACAGGACUUCUGGACCUUUCUCCUUCGCUCUGGCAUUGACUUGCUGUGUGACCCUGGGCAAGUCACUUCACCUUUCGGUGCCAUCUGUGAAGAUGACUGGAGAGAAGCUGUUGAAGGAUCUAAACAAGACCUACACAGCGUAGGAGGCAUGACAUAUGAGACCAACGUAGCCGUGAACAGCUCUCUGUACCAUUAGUUCAUACUAGUAAGACCUUCAUUAAACCUUGUUAAAAAUCGAGUUUGGCUUGAUUCUGUUUAGAAGCAAAACCAAACUCUCUUGAGUAGUUUUCCAAACAAGCACGUUUCUGUGAUGACCACGAAAUUACAAUCUGCUUCUCUGAUAGCACUUUUCUAACAGAGAGAUCUGUGUGUGUGCUGCAUUUGAUUAGG